AUCUACUCACACUUCAUCUCUUCUUCUGGACAAGCUAGAUUUAAGCAGAUAUGACGAAUUCUUUCCAGGCACGGCAGAAGGUGAGGUUCGGCGAGCCACGGAGCUUUCCGGCGGUGCUCCGGGCAAGCCUGAAGGAGGUGCUUUUCCCCGACGAUCCCUUCGGCGAAUUCAAGAACGAGCCAUUUUCACGCAGGGUGAUAAAGGGGUUUCAGUACUUCGUCCCCAUUUUGGAUUGGCUUCCCCACUACAACCUUAAUCUCUUCAUGUACGAUGUUCUCGCCGGAAUCACCAUCGCCAGCCUCGCCAUCCCUCAGGGAAUCAGCUACGCUAAGCUCGCCAACAUUCCUCCCAUCAUCGGACUCUAUUCGAGUUUUGUGCCGCCAUUGAUUUACGCAGUGUUUGGAAGUUCAAAGCAUCUUGCGGUGGGUACGGUGGCGGCUUCGUCGUUGCUCAUAGCUGCCACCAUUGAAGAAGUAGUGAAACCACAAGACAACUUGGAACUUUAUGUGGAUUUGGUGUUCACAGCCACCCUUGUCUCUGGUUUGAUGCAAACCGUCAUGGGUUUGUUGAGGUUAGGAAUAUUGGUGGAUUUUCUAUCGCAUUCAACAAUCACUGGUUUCAUGGGAGGGACAGCAGUACUCAUAUGUUUGCAGCAGCUGAAAGGAAUCCUUGGCUUGAAGCAUUUCACACACAAAACUGAUUUGAUUUCUGUUAUACGCUCAAUUUUUGCCAAUAAAAAUGAGUGUAAUUGGAGGGCCAUUGUGAUUGGUGUUGUCUUCCUUGCUUUCCUACAGUCCACUAGAUAUGUAAAAAAGAAGAUUCCAAGAUUGUUUUGGGUUUCAGCCAUAGCUCCUAUGGUGUGUGUCAUUGUUGGCUGCCUCUUUGCUUACUUUGCUCAUGCAGAUAAACUUGGCAUCCAAACUGUGGGAGAUCUAAAGAAAGGAAUAAACCCUCUCUCCAUCCAAAGAUUGAACUUUGAUCCCAAAUACAUUUACGCACCAAUUAAAGCUGGAACCAUCACAGCCAUGAUUGCUCUAGCUGAAGGAAUUGCAAUUGGGAGGAGUUUUGCAGUGAUGCAAAAUGAACAAAUUGAUGGCAAUAAGGAGAUGAUUGCCUUUGGACUCAUGAACAUCAUUGGCUCCUUCACAUCUUGCUACUUAACCACAGGUCCGUUCUCGAAAACUGCGGUGAACUACAACGCGGGAUGCAGGACCGCCAUGUCCAACGUUGUAAUGUCGAUCUGCAUGUGUCUAACGCUCCUGUUCUUGGCCCCGAUCUUUAGCUACACACCCCUGGUGGCGCUGUCCGCCAUUAUUGCAUCAGCCAUGCUGGGCCUAAUUAAGUACAAAAAGUUCUACCAUCUCUACCAGACUGACAAGUUUGAUUUCUUGAUUUGCAUGGUGGGGGUGUUUGGUGUCAUCUUCAUUAGCAUGACCUAUGGGCUUGUGUUAUCGAUAUCUCUGGCUUUAGUGAGGGCCCUUUUGCAUGUAGCUAGGCCUCCUUCAUGCAAGCUUGGGAGCAUGGUAGAGAGUGGAAUAUAUUGUGACAUUGAACAGUAUCCAGGUGCAACUGGAUUUCCAGGGAUUUUGAUCUUGCAGCUUGGUUCUCCAAUAUACUUUGCAAAUGCCAAUUACAUUAGGGAAAGAAUUUUAAGGUGGAUCAGAGAUGAACAAAAAAUUUCGAAUUCUAAAGGGGCAGAGGUUGAAUUCUUACUGCUGGACUUUGGAGCUAUUAACUCAAUUGAUGUAACGGGUAUUGAAACACUAGUUGAAAUUAGAAAGAGUUUACUAGCAAAAGAGAUUAAGAUGAUUUUGAUAAAUCCGAGAUUGGGAGUGAUGGAGAAGCUGAUGUUAUCAAAGUUCAUAGAAAUUAUUGGAAAGGAAUCAGUUUUCCUGUCAAUUGAUGAUGCAAUUGAGUUUUGCAAAUUUUCUCUCAAAUCUAUGUCGUCCGUUUAAUUUAAUUUUAAACCCAAUCUCGAUCUUGUAAUCCACACCCUCACUUCGUCCAUAUAUAUAUAUUGUUGUUUUCAAAUUUCACCCUUUUAAUCAACA